ACUCCUACGGGAGGCAGCAGUAAGGAAUAUUGGGCAAUGGUCGGAAGACUGACCCAGCCAUGCCGCGUGCAGGAAGAAGGCCCUAUGGGUUGUAAACUGCUUUAGCCAGGGGCUAAACCUACCGAUGCGUUGGUAGCUGAAGGUACCUGGAGAAUAAGCAUCGGCUAACUCCGUGCCAGCAGCCGCGGUAAUACGGAGGAUGCGAGCGUUAUCCGGAUUUACUGGGUUUAAAGGGUGCGCAGGCGGUUGUUUAAGUCAGGGGUGAAAGCCCUAUGCUCAACAUAGGGAUUGCCUUUGAUACUGAACGGCUAGAGUGAAGAUGGAGUGGGUGGAAUGUGUUGUGUAGCGGUGAAAUGCAUAGAUAUAACACAGAACACCGAUCGCGAAGGCAGCUCACUAAUUUUCAACUGACGCUCAUGCACGAAAGCGUGGGGAGCAAACAGGAUUAGAUACCCUGGUAGUC
rnacentral:rRNA from 1 species